CACAAAAUAACUAAUAUGCCUGGCAGAAAUUAAAUUUUCUUAUUUCCUAAAAUAAAAAUAUCAUGGGAUGAAAAACUAUGCUUAGUUCAAUAUAAUUAUUGUGGAUUUCAUAAGGAUUGUCAUUGUUUUAUUUUAAUAUAAUACAUAUUAUUUCACUUACCCCCCACGAAAACACGAUUUCAGCCAUAUUUUGCCGUCUUGUUUGCUUUUUAUCGCCGUCUUGCAAAUAUCAUCCAGUUGUACUUUUACAUAAUCAUAAAGGGCUAAAGAAUAUUUCAACAAAAUUUCAUCAAGUUGUGAGACAGUGCAGUGUAUUUUAUCUUCGAUAUUGUUGUCCUUCGAUAUUUUGUCAAAUUGCCGCCAUUUU
rnacentral:lncRNA from 1 species